CCUGUACAGAAAGUCUUCAGCUCUGUGAAGUAUGUGGACGAUUCAGAAAAGAUGACACAAACCCACGACAACAGCAACGUGAAAAGACAAAUAACAAAAAUGUGAGGAACAUUUUGAGUCCAGCAGAACAUAUCUUCACAGGCCAACCAGAAAAGCAGGUUGUCCUCGCUGUACUCAGAGCGCAGGAACUCUCGGAAGACCUCCCGGCCCUCCAACGAGCGCAGCAUCAACUCAAAACUCCGUGACCAUGAAAGCACCUCCUCUAGACUGGCGUGUCUGAAAGAUGGAAGAGACGUGGACGUGUGUGAGACCGACGGAGGCACACAAAACACAAAAUCAUACUGGACAUGAAGAAAGAAGAGAGAGCAGAGGGAUGAACCUACUGUUCUUCUGUAGCUUCAAUACUGUCCAUCUUGGUGCAGGCUGCAACCAACUCCGUUCAGAGCCUGGAAGCGUCUCAUGAUGCACAGCGUCGCGAGCAGGUGAACCGGCAAAAAAAAAAAGGCAGGAGUUUCAAUUAAUUAUAUCUACACUGACAGCGCACACCAGUGACUGUCAGCAAGCAUCACUGCUUCGGGUUAAUAAACAUUUCAUACACUGUCGAAACCUUCCUCCCACAACUCCACUCUCCAUUUAUAUUAUUUAAAACAUAACAGGACAACAUUCAAAGUGGGAUUGGAAAAAGUACUCAAAGAGAAACAGUGACGCAGGCGAAGUUACCGUAUGCAGAGCUGUGCAGCAGUACAUUAGUGUGUAAGUAUUGUUUGGGUAGAUCUACAGAUCACGUCUACUCAUUGUUGUAUAAUGUCUUGGAGGAGCCUUCGACAAUUUGAGAAAAUGAUUCAUAUGUUUUUUUGCUUUUGAACUGCA